CUUUUCUCUCUCACUUACUGUAAAUACAGAACAAGGAAGAAGAGAGAGAAGGAGAGAAAUGAAGAGAGGAAAAAGGGAGGGCUGCUGCUGCAGCUACCUGCGGCUGUAUGCGGCGGCUGCCUGCUACGACUGCUGCUGAUGUUGUGCACACCAGUGCAGCUGGUGAUGCUGCAGCGUCUACUGCUGCACACACAUCUGCACUGAUGUGGUGCUUCCUUAUUCAAGAGCUGGGACAAGGAUUGUACAGCUGAUGACUCUCUUACACAUCCAACACCCAAUUGGGAAGGAACCUGAUGUACACUUGGUGAGGAUACGGUGAUCAGCAAUUCAGCGAAAGAACUCCAGAUUUGGGAAAUCAUAUAUUGGUGUUGGAAUUAUGGGCAAGGCAAGGACAGCUCUGGUAUGCAGGUGCAUUGCAAGACACUUGUAGGGACAGAUGACAUAUGUUGUACAGAAUGUAUUAUGACACCUAUGGCUGUAAGAUUAUAAAUAUUCAUAUUAUUUGUGAAUGGAGUUGUAAAUUUGUAAUUACAAUAUUCGGUAUCACAAUAGUCCAGUCACCAAACUAUUUAUGCUUUUAUGGAUCUUAUAUGCGUACUAUGAUUUAAUAAAUGUUUUUAUAAAGUGGGUUUUGAUUAUUAUACUA